rnacentral:lncRNA from 1 species
GAUUGACCCAUCUGUUGAUUAAGAUAAUUGACUAUUUUAAGCUUGUAAUGGAAGCUUCAAGCUUGAUGUAUUUAUGCAUAUUUUUUGUUAAACAAAUCGAAACAGCUUUGGGAAACUGAGUAAGAAUAUAUGAAACCAUCAAAGGAGAACAGAAGAGAAGAGAAGAGAUAGAGCCAAGAGUGAUACAACAUCGUCCACUUUUUCUCCUCUCAGUAUUGCCCUCUCUCCUCCUAAAAUUACCCUCUCUCUCUCUCCUCUCUCCUCUCAGCAUAGCCCUCACUCUCAUCUCUUCUCCCAACAUCGUCUUCUCUCACCUAUCUCCGCAUCCAGCAUCUUCCGUACAUUUUCUGAGAAUCGCCCAUUGCCUCCUCUCUUGUUCAGCAUCACAUUUAACUCCUCCUCACUCCUCACCAU